AAGUCGUAACAAGGUUUCCGUAGGUGAACCUGCGGAAGGAUCAUUAACACGUUUCGUUCCGAACGUUUUUGACCCCCCCUAUUUUCCGUGCACUCAUGCGUCCGGCCUCCCAGCCGCCCAUCAUGUUUACAUGGUGUGGCCUGUUGGGCGUCAUUGGGACCAAAGAAGUGUUGCUCUACUCUUUCUUGACUAUCUUUAGGACGGUCUUUUUUGCAGUGGGUUUCGCUUCUCCCUUUGGCGUUGCCACCUCACCCAAACCCUUUAAUCUAACUGAUCUGAACUUUUAGUUGAUGCAAAUCAACGAUUUACAAACAAAUAACAACUCUUAACAACGGAUAUCUUGGUUCUC
rnacentral:misc_RNA from 1 species